rnacentral:rRNA from 1 species
AUGGCGACCAUCGGCGUCGUCCUGCUGCUCCUCCUACUCGCGCCGACACCGUAUCUGGCCGCUGCCGCUUUCUGCCACAGCGUGAAGGCCGCCGGUGCCGCGUUCUCCCGGAACGCCUCCUCCUCGCCAGUACAGUUCGCCACGACCACCAUCGACCAGGCCCCCGACGUGGUGUACGCGCUCGCGCUCUGCCUCGGCGACGUCCUCGACAGCUCCGCCUGUGGCGCCUGCAUCACCGACUGGUUCACCACCGUGAACCAGACGCAGUGCGACACGGCGGGCUCCAGCUACCGCGACUGCAUCAUCGUUUACGGCGCCGCGCCAACAUCCUGGCGGCGCCCUCGAACGCCACGGGAGGAUCGGGCGACAACAUGCCGCCCUUCCAGGAUUGGAACAUCAGGAACGUCACCGCCGCCGACGCCCCCCGCAUCGUCAACCUCACCUUCGAGCUGCUGGCGAAGACCGCGGCGAUGGCGGCCACCGCGACACCCAAGCUGUACGCCACCAGUGUCAUGGAAAGUAUUCACCGCAAGGUUUGGAAAGUAUUCACCGCACAAGUUUUGGUACUGCCGCGGGAUCUGCGAUGGAGAUACCCGAAAUGCUUGUCGCAGGAAGCCGGAAAUUAUUACCGUGGAUACUACGUCUGUGAGUUCAUCUACAACGCGACGGCCAAGAAUAGGCGGGGCUACUCUAAAAGACAAUAUGAAGUGCAUAAACAAAAAUAGUCACAAGUUAUUUUAUUACCAUCAUUUCUGUUCAGUUUCAUUCAUAUAUAUGUAUUGA